rnacentral:rRNA from 1 species
CAGUAGCCGCGGUAAUACGAAGGGGGCUAGCGUUGCUCGGAAUCACUGGGCGUAAAGGGUGCGUAGGCGGGUUUCUAAGUCAGGGGUGAAAUCCUAGAGCUCAACUCCAGAACUGCCCUUGAUACUGGAAGUCUUGAGUAUGGGAGAGGUGAGUGGAACUGCGAGUGUAGAGGUGAAAUUCGUAGAUAUUCGCAAGAACACCAGUGGCGAAGGCGGCUCACUGGCCCAUAACUGACGCUGAGGCACGAAAGCGUGGGGAGCAAACAGGAUUAGAUACCCGCGUAGUCCCUGUCUCUUAUAC